GCCAGCUUAGCUCAAUAGGUAGAGCAACCGCCUUGUAAGCGGUAGGUUGUCGGUUCAAUUCCGACAGCUGGCUCCA
rnacentral:tRNA from 5 species